rnacentral:rRNA from 1 species
AACAGCUUGCUGUUUCGCUGACGAGUGGCGGACGGGUGAGUAAUGUCUGGGAAACUGCCUGAUGGAGGGGGAUAACUACUGGAAACGGUAGCUAAUACCGCAUAACGUCGCAAGACCAAAGAGGGGGACCUUCGGGCCUCUUGCCAUCAGGUGUGCCCAGAUGGGAUUAGCUAGUAGGUGGGGUAACGGCUCACCUAGGCGACGAUCCCUAGCUGGUCUGAGAGGAUGACUAGCCACACUGGAACUGAGACACGGUCCAGACUCCUACGGGAGGCAGCAGUGGGGAAUAUUGCACAAUGGGCGCAAGCCUGAUGCAGCCAUGCCGCGUGUAUGAAGAAGGCCUUCGGGUUGUAAAGUACUUUCAGCGGGGAGGAAGGGAGUAAAGUUAAUACCUUUGCUCAUUGACGUUACCCGCAGAAGAAGCACCGGCUAACUCCGUGCCAGCAGCCGCGGUAAUACGGAGGGUGCAAGCGUUAAUCGGAAUUACUGGGCGUAAAGCGCACGCAGGCGGUUUGUUAAGUCAGAUGUGAAAUCCCCGGGCUCAACCUGGGAACUGCAUCUGAUACUGGCAAGCU